UCCCUAAAAUCUCUACAACAAACCAAAUUUCCACAUAAUUGUAUAUAUAUCUCUUCCCACAAUCUCAGCCAGUUUCCAACGCCAUCCCGGUUCAGUUCCUCUUCGUUUCUGCAAAGGUAAUCUUUUCCUCAACCCUAUGAGUAUGAAAACCUCCAUGUAUUAAUCCCAUGGCCAAUUUUCUUGUGAUAUCACACCUUGAACCGAGACACUGAGUUUUUCAAUAUCCUCUGCUUCUGCAAGUUUUGCUUCUCCGGAAGACAUAUAUUCUUCCUCCCUUCAGCCCCCAAAUUCUCAUACCAAGCAGUGAGUUCAAGUUUUCAUCCGCCAUUGUUUUCCAGCAAAGCCAAAUUCUUCUUUACCAAAAGUGUGAACGAGAAACCAAGAGUGUGUGAUAUUUCAAUACCUUCUCUUCUGCAAAUGUUGCUACUUCCGGAAGGGUGAAAUUUUGCACGUUGUUGAGGUUGGGACCGGAAGUUUGAGGAGGAGCUAAGCUUUUGAGAUUGAGCGGCGAUGGACGUGGAGGAUGUUGAGCAGAGUUGUUGGAAAAUUAUAUCUUGUUUGGUUGUUGGAUUUGUCGAGUCUUCAUACUCGGCAUUUUUCCAUGUCUUGACGCUUCCGCUAAAAUUCUAAAUUUCCUUUGGACUGUUUUAUCAUUGGGUCUUAUUAUUCGAAGUUAGUUUUGUGGAGAAAGUAUUCGAGUUUGUUUUAAGUUUCUUAGUUAAUCUUUUGUUUUGGUCGUGUAUA